rnacentral:rRNA from 1 species
AUUCGCCCUUAGAGUUUGAUCAUGGCUCAGGAUGAACGCUAGCGACAGGCUUAACACAUGCAAGUCGAGGGGCAGCAUGAUUUGUAGCAAUACAGAUUGAUGGCGACCGGCGCACGGGUGAGUAACGCGUAUGCAACUUACCUAUCAGAGGGGGAUAGCCCGGCGAAAGUCGGAUUAAUACCCCAUAAAACAGGGGUCCCGCAUGGGAAUAUUUGUUAAAGAUUCAUCGCUGAUAGAUAGGCAUGCGUUCCAUUAGGCAGUUGGCGGGGUAACGGCCCACCAAACCGACGAUGGAUAGGGGUUCUGAGAGGAAGGUCCCCCACAUUGGUACUGAGACACGGACCAAACUCCUACGGGAGGCAGCAGUGAGGAAUAUUGGUCAAUGGCCGAGAGGCUGAACCAGCCAAGUCGCGUGAAGGAAGAAGGAUCUAUGGUUUGUAAACUUCUUUUAUAGGGGAAUAAAGUGGAGGACGUGUCCUUUUUUGUAUGUACCCUAUGAAUAAGCAUCGGCUAACUCCGUGCCAGCAGCCGCGGUAAUACGGAGGAUGCGAGCGUUAUCCGGAUUUAUUGGGUUUAAAGGGUGCGUAGGUGGUGAUUUAAGUCAGCGGUGAAAGUUUGUGGCUCAACCAUAAAAUUGCCGUUGAAACUGGGUUACUUGAGUGUGUUUGAGGUAGGCGGAAUGCGUGGUGUAGCGGUGAAAUGCAUAGAUAUCACGCAGAACUCCGAUUGCGAAGGCAGCUUACUAAACCAUAACUGACACUGAAGCACGAAAGCGUGGGGAUCAAACAGGAUUAGAUACCCUGGUAGUCCACGCAGUAAACGAUGAUUACUAGGAGUUUGCGAUACAAUGUAAGCUCUACAGCGAAAGCGUUAAGUAAUCCACCUGG